GGGUGAAGGGCCUUGGCUCGGUGGUUAGAGCACCUGCUUUGGAUGUAGAAGGUCCCAGGUUCAAUCCCUGAUGCAUCCA